CUACACGAAGUCAAGAACGACGGAGGAGUGAACUGGGUGAAACCGUAACUAAAAAAGAAGCUCGAGGGGGAUGAAGCAACAUAGCGAGAUGAAGUGGAGAAAAAACCUCUGCCGAAAAAUAAUUUCGCCGGAACGGUUGACAUGAAAAAUCGAGAAUUUAAUCCGUAUUAGAGGGAUGAGAGAAGUCUAAGAAAUGACGAAGAAAAAAACCAGGAGAUUUGUUGGUGGGG
rnacentral:lncRNA from 1 species